GCGCAGCAGGCGAGAAACUUUACAAUGUGCGAAAGCACGAUAAGGGAACUCUGAGUGCCUCCUAAGGAGGCUGUUCUGAUGUCUAAAAAGCAACAGAAGUAAGGGCUGGGUAAGACCGGUGCCAGCCGCCGCGGUAACACCGGCAGCCCAAGUGGUAGCCACGUUUAUUGGGUCUAAAGCGUUCGUAGCCGGCCAGGUAAGUUCCUUGGUAAAUUUAGCCGCUUAACGGUUAAGCUUUCAGGGAAUACUGCUUGGCUUGGGACUGGGAGAGGUCAGAGGUACUCCGGGGGUAGGGGUGAAAUCUAUUAAUCCCUGGGGGACCACCGGUAGCGAAGGCGUCUGACCAGACCAGGUCCGACGGUGAGGGACGAAGGCUAGGGGCGCGAACCGGAUUAGAUACCCCCGUA
rnacentral:rRNA from 1 species